UUUGAAGAAGAUUCAGCCUACCUGCUUAAUGAAUGAAGCAGGUAGCUUACUACCUAUUUCUCAAAAAAAAAAAAAACACUUUUGAAGAAGAUUCAGCCAAAACAAGCAGGUAGAAUUUACUAGAUUUGUAACACUUUUUUUUUUUCAGUGGAAUCUGCUAAAUAUGGCAUAUACAAUCUACUAAUUGUCACUCGUUCAGUGAGCUAACUUGUAUUAACUACUCUCUAGUUGUGAAUCCAUACAUA
rnacentral:lncRNA from 1 species